rnacentral:lncRNA from 1 species
UGUGCUAUAUGGAUUGAUCUGGAGUCAAUCCGAAUUUAUAUAGGUUUAGUAUGAGUUUGCAUGUUCUUGAUUUGAUUAAAUUAAAUUUAGGUUCUUUUUAAAUGGUUCUUAACCUUGCCUGAACCUAAUUCAACCCAUCUAUGUUGCUGGUGCUGAUUUUUUCUACCUACAACCACUUGGGGAAACAAUAGAGCAUAGAGCUUUGAAUAUGCGUAUGCAAAACAAUUUCAAGAGAAUGUUAUGGCAAAAUCCCAGCGUCGUGCAAUAAUUCAUGUUCUUUUUCACUCAGUCUAUGCUCCACUCCUCCUAAGCUCAAACUGCACCAUGGUCUUGAUGAAGCAUGCACUAUCGAACAAAUAUAACGCACCUAGGGAUAUUUUGUACUUGAUGCAUAGAUAAGAAACUGUCAAUAAACUUGAUUUUUUUUGUUCUUAAGCAUCUCAAAUAUUGUAAACAUGGUCAAUAAUAUGGAUCUUUUGUUAAAAGGUCCUAAGAGGUCCAUCAUUGAUUUUGCAUCAGUAAGAUUAAGGGUUCAAUCCUAUCAUGAAAUACCAGCUCAGCUCCCCCCUUCUGCCAGCAGAAAAAAAAGGGGGUGGGGGAGGGGGAGAGAGAGGGAUAGAGAGGACUAAUAUUAAAACACAUUUUUAAUUGUUCAAUCAUUUAAUAGUCUGUUUAAACAAGUAUGAUCAUGUUAAACAUUGCCAAGCUGCAUUGACAACUAAGAUGGUGCUGUCCCAAUUUAAUCACAAUGAAUUGUUACCCAACAUGUUGUGUUCUUCUCACCCUAGCUAUGACAUUUGGUCAAUUAGCUACUCC